rnacentral:lncRNA from 1 species
GAACAAAGUUGGAGAACUUGUAUUUCCCAAUUUCAGAAUUUGCUACAAAGCAACAAUGUUCACAGCAGCAUUAUUCACAGGAGCCAGAAGGUGGCAGCACCCCGAGUGUCCAUGAAGGGACAAGUGGGAUAAGCACUUCGCCAUCUCCACACAGGGAAUAUUGAGCCCUGAAGGAGUGAAAUUCUGGCAGCGCCACACCAUGGGAGAACAUUCAGGACCUUAUGCUGAGUGGGAGAAGCCAGACACAAAAGGACAAACGCUGUUUACGUCCACUUACACGAAGUGCCUCGAGCAGUGAAAUUCGUAGAGAGAGAAGGUGGAUGGUGGGUGCAGGAGCUGCGGGAGAGAGAAGGUGGAUGGUGGGGUGCAGGAGCUGCGGGGGAGAGAAGGUGGAUGGUGGGUGCAGGAGCUGCGGGGGAGGGAAGGUGGAUGGUGGGUGCAGGAGCUGCGGGGGAGGGAAGGUUGAUGGUGGGUGCAGGAGCUGCGGGGGAGGGAAUGGGAGUUAGCAUUUAAU